rnacentral:pre_miRNA from 1 species
AAUAGAAUUGCUAGUUCAUAUGGUAAGUAUACAUUCAACUUUUUAAGAAACUGCCAAACUGUUUUCCAAAGUAACUGUACCAUUUUGCAUUUCCACCAGCAAU